UAGGUCAUAAUAUCUGGAAUGAUUUAUGGUUUAAAUCUAUAUGGCCUCUGGAUUGGACUGCGGCCGAUCAGGCUGUUGGUGAGGUAAUGGCCCACCAAACCUGAAACCGGUACGGGCUCUGAGAGGAGAAGCCCGGAGAUGGGCACUGAGACAAGGGCCCAGGCCCUAUGGGGCGCAGCAGGCGCGAAAACUCUGCAAUAAGCGAAAGCUUGACAGGGUUAUUCUGAGUGAUUUCCGCUAAGGAAAUCUUUUGGCACCUCUAAAAAUGGUGCAGAAUAAGGGGUGGGCAAGCCUGGUGUCAGCCGCCGCGGUAAUACCAGCACCCCGAGUGGUCGGGACGAUUAUUGGGCCUAAAGCAUCCGUAGCCGGUUCUACAAGUCUUCCGUUAAAUCCACCUGCUUAACAGAUGGGCUGCGGAGGAUACUAUAGAGCUAGGAGGCGGGAGAGGCAAGCGGUACUUAGUGGGUAGGGGUAAAAUCCGUUGAUCCAUUGAAGACCACCAGUGGCGAAGGCGGCUUGCCAGAACGCACUCGACGGUGAGGGAUGAAAGCUGGGGGAGCAAACCGGAUUAGAUACCCGGGUAGUCCCAGCUGUAAACGAUGCAGACUCGGUGAUGAAUAGGCUUCGUGCCUAUUCAGUGCCGCAGGGAA
rnacentral:rRNA from 1 species